UUCGCACACAAACCCGAAGGUCACGACCUCUUGAUGGUGAUGCCCUUGCUAUGUGUGCGUAAAGAAAGAUUGAACCUUGUCGCCUUUCAUUGGCUGUCAAAUGUGCCAUUGAAAGUGAAUUCAAGGUGCGACAAGC